rnacentral:rRNA from 1 species
ACCUGGCGGCGUGCCUACCAUGCAGUCGCGCGAGAAGGGGAGCUUGCUCCCUGAGUAAAGCGGCAGACGGGUGAGUAAUACGUGGGCAACCUGCCCUCGAGUGGGGAAUAACCCAGGGAAACUUGGGCUAAUACCGCAUGACAUCAUCGGUCCCUCGGUAUCGAUGAUCAAAGCUGGCCUCUACAUGUAAGCUGGCGCUUGAGGAGGGGCUCACGCCCGAUUAGCUAGUUGGUGGGGUAAUGGCCUACCAAGGCGACGAUCGGUAGCCGGCCUGAGAGGGUGUCCGGCCACACUGGAACUGAGACACGGUCCAGACUCCUACGGGAGGCAGCAGUGAGGAAUUUUGGUCAAUGGGGGAAACCCUGAACCAGCGACGCCGCGUGGAUGAUGAAAGCCUUCGGGUCGUAAAAUCCUGUCGAGGGGGAAGAAAUGCCUUUUUGUCAAUAGCGAA